UCCGCUGUCGCCAUAUCUGUUUCCGGUUUACUUGCGCGUCGCCCAAAAUGUCUGUUUUUACUCGAUGUCUCCAGAAUCUUCCGAAAAUACGCGUCAGCGAUGUUCAUCGCAUUGUUGAUGCCUGGUCCCCUGCUCCGACAAGCAAGAGGGACAAGGGCUUUAAACUCUACAUAUCGAGUUAUCUGCACAACUACAAGGGAGCACACACUCUACAAAGGCCUGACUGGAGAUUUGCCUGAUCUAUCCGUCCUUCAGAUGACAGCGGCUCGCUUCAAGAGCAGGUGAAGCAAGUUGGGACAAUGUUGAAGACAUUUGCUCGCACUGGGCAAUCGGGUGCAGAUCAAACCCUAAUGCUGCGACGUCUUGGAGUUUGGCGAUGUUGUGCGUAGCAUGGACAACAAAAUGCUAUGCUGCAACAUUUCAGUGCCAAUGUGUCUGUUGGAGAGUUAUCCCUGCCAGGGGAUCUGUUACUCCCCCCUAGACACCCAGGAAGAUUUGGCGUUGCUUGACAACAGUUUGAGGCAGGAUAAAGAGCUCCAGCAACGAUUUCUUCGGUUUUUGGCAAUCAAAUGUGGGAGGGACCUAAAGACAACCGUGUGGC